rnacentral:lncRNA from 1 species
AUCGAUUACCAAAUCGAUUGAUACCAAGUUUAAAAUCAGGUUUAAAGUUCUGUGAUGCAACAAAUCGAUUGGGACAUCAAUUGAUUUAGUUUUCUUAAAAAUCCAAAGUUGACGCAAUCGAUUAGGCAAUCGAUUGCAGAUUAAUCAUUCAUCAGAACAACUUUGAUCAAAUCGAUUGGCAAAUAGAUUUUGUCAAAAUAGCUGAGGUUCUGCAACACGCACAAUCGAUUGGCAAAUCGAUUGAUGGAAAAGCCUGAGUCACUAUGAUCAGCACAAUAGAUUGACGAAUCGAUUGAAGAAAAUGGUCAAGUUACAGAAAGGUUUCAGCUAAGUGCCAAAUUGAUUAUGAAGUCGACUGAGGAAUCGAUUGUUUUGAUUUCGUUGUUGAAUCAAAACACCUAUAAUCGAUUAUUCAAUCGAUUUGGAUAAAAUCAUAG